CUCCGAGCCCCUGGCACGGCCACAGUCCUCCCUGGAGGCUGCCUGGCUCCCUCCAGCAGGGCCACGCUGGCUGUUCCUGAGACGGGGAGUGCUCUCCCUGAGGUGGGCUCGGGUCGUGGUCCUUGCUGAAGCCUUGGUCACAGCCAUGCAGAACAGGCUCUGGCUAUGUUGCCUACACUGGUCUCAAACUCCUGGACUCAAAGCAAUUCUCCUGCCUUGGCCUCCUGAGGAGCUGUGUGUGCACCACAGAAACCAGUUCUUAAUAAAAACAAAACUAAUCAAUGGGGAACGGAAAGAUCUAAACUCACAGAUCCCAGACUCAAAUGGUGAGUGAUAUUUUGAUGCUGGCCUCUCGUUCGGACGAGGCUGAUCAGAUUCGGGUUAUCUCCGCUUCCUCCCCCUCCCCGGCCUUCACGCUCACCCACCGACCUCCUUCCCCGCGAAGGCCUCUCUGCACCCGCUGCCACCCCACUGCGCCUGACAGUUGGGCAGCUGGAACCGAGGCAGCGGCUGCUGCUGCCAGGGCCGUGGGCCGAGAGGGAGCCGGGCGUGGCCCAGAGACUGAGGGGCCCAGAGGCUCCGUCACCUUCCACUGCAGACCGACCGGGCGAGGCUGUGCCCCGAAGCCGCCCCAGCCUCCUAUUGACUGAGAGGAGCCGGCCCAGCCUCGGCCCGCAGCACAACCCCCAGGGACCGUGCUGACGUCACAAGCACACGGCUGUGCGCUCCUCCAUCAAAGUCCGCAGCUUCCUCGUAAAACAGCAUCAGCUGGGCACAGUGACAGUCCCUGAAUCCCAGUCUCCCAGGAGGCCAAGGCAGGAGGAUGCAAACUCAAACCCAGACUGAGCAGCUUAGCACAAUCCUGUCUCGGAAUAAAAUUCUAAACAGGGCUGG
rnacentral:lncRNA from 1 species